rnacentral:rRNA from 1 species
UACGGAGGGGGCUAGCGUUGUUCGGAAUUACUGGGCGUAAAGCGCACGUAGGCGGCUUUGCAAGUUAGAGGUGAAAGCCCGGGGCUCAACUCCGGAAUUGCCUUUAAGACUGCAUCGCUCGAAUCAUGGAGAGGUGAGUGGAAUUCCGAGUGUAGAGGUGAAAUUCGUAGAUAUUCGGAAGAACACCAGUGGCGAAGGCGACUCACUGGACAUGUAUUGACGCUGAGGUGCGAAAGCGUGGGGAGCAAACAGG